GUGGGGAAUAUUGGACAAUGGGCGAAAGCCUGAUCCAGCCAUGCCGCGUGUGUGAAGAAGGUCUUCGGAUUGUAAAGCACUUUAAGUUGGGAGGAAGGGCAGUAAGUUAAUACCUUGCUGUUUUGACGUUACCGACAGAAUAAGCACCGGCUAACUUCGUGCCAGCAGCCGCGGUAAUACGAAGGGUGCAAGCGUUAAUCGGAAUUACUGGGCGUAAUGCGCGCGUAGGUGGUUUUGUAAGUUGGAGGUGAAAUGCCCGGGCUCAACCUGGGUACUGCCGCCAAAACUGCAUGACUAGGGGACGGUAGAGGGUAGUGGAAUUUCCUGUGUAGCGGUGAAAGGCGUAGAUCUAGGAAGGAACACCAGUGGCGAAGGCGACUACCUGGACUGAUACUGACACGGAGGGGCGAAGGCGUGGGGAGAAAACAGGAUUAGAAACCCCAGUAGUCC
rnacentral:rRNA from 1 species